rnacentral:rRNA from 2 species
CGGAAAGGUUGCAGCAUGAGAGUCUGACGGAGCACGCCGCGUGAGUGAUGAAGGCUUUCGGGUCGUAAAACUCUGUUGUUAGGGAAGAACAAGUACAAGAGUAACUGCUUGUACCUUGACGGUACCUAACCAGAAAGCCACGGCUAACUACGUGCCAGCAGCCGCGGUAAUACGUAGGUGGCAAGCGUUAUCCGGAAUUAUUGGGCGUAAAGCGCGCGCAGGCGGUUUCUUAAGUCUGAUGUGAAAGCCCACGGCUCAACCGUGGAGGGUCAUUGGAAACUGGGGAACUUGAGUGCAGAAGAGAAAAGCGGAAUUCCACGUGUAGCGGUGAAAUGCGUAGAGAUGUGGAGGAACACCAGUGGCGAAGGCGGCUUUUUGGUCUGUAACUGACGCUGAGGCGCGAAAGCGUGGGGAGCAAACAGGAUUAGAUACCCCGGGUAGUCAUAU